GAACGCUGGCGGCGUGCUUAACACAUGCAAGUCGAACGGAAAGGCCCUUCGGGGUACUCGAGUGGCGAACGGGUGAGUAACACGUGGGUGAUCUGCCCUGCACUUUGGGAUAAGCCUGGGAAACUGGGUCUAAUACCGAAUAUGACCAUGCGCCUCCUGGUGUGUGGUGGAAAGCUUUUGCGGUGUGGGAUGGGCCCGCGGCCUAUCAGCUUGUUGGUGGGGUAAUGGCCUACCAAGGCGACGACGGGUAGCCGGCCUGAGAGGGUGACCGGCCACACUGGGACUGAGAUACGGCCCAGACUCCUACGGGAGGCAGCAGUGGGGAAUAUUGCACAAUGGGCGCAAGCCUGAUGCAGCGACGCCGCGUGAGGGAUGACGGCCUUCGGGUUGUAAACCUCUUUCAGCACAGACGAAGCGCAAGUGACGGUAUGUGCAGAAGAAGGACCGGCCAACUACGUGCCAGCAGCCGCGGUAAUACGUAGGGUCCGAGCGUUGUCCGGAAUUACUGGGCGUAAAGAGCUCGUAGGUGGUUUGUCGCGUUGUUCGUGAAAACUCACAGCUUAACUGUGGGCGUGCGGGCGAUACGGGCAGACUUGAGUACUGCAGGGGAGACUGGAAUUCCUGGUGUAGCGGUGGAAUGCGCAGAUAUCAGGAGGAACACCGGUGGCGAAGGCGGGUCUCUGGGCAGUAACUGACGCUGAGGAGCGAAAGCGUGGGGAGCGAACAGGAUUAGAUACCCUGGUAGUCCACGCCGUAAACGGUGGGUACUAGGUGUGGGUUUCCUUCCUUGGGAUCCGUGCCGUAGCUAACGCAUUAAGUACCCCGCCUGGGGAGUACGGCCGCAAGGCUAAAACUCAAAGAAAUUGACGGGGGCCCGCACAAGCGGCGGAGCAUGUGGAUUAAUUCGAUGCAACGCGAAGAACCUUACCUGGGUUUGACAUGCACAGGACGCCGGCAGAGAUGUCGGUUCCCUUGUGGCCUGUGUGCAGGUGGUGCAUGGCUGUCGUCAGCUCGUGUCGUGAGAUGUUGGGUUAAGUCCCGCAACGAGCGCAACCCUUGUCCUAUGUUGCCAGCGGGUUAUGCCGGGGACUCGUAGGAGACUGCCGGGGUCAACUCGGAGGAAGGUGGGGGAUGACGUCAAGUCAUCAUGCCCCUUAUGUCCAGGGCUUCACACAUGCUACAAUGGCCGGUACAAAGGGCUGCGAUGCCGUGAGGUGGAGCGAAUCCUUUCAAAGCCGGUCUCAGUUCGGAAUCGGGGUCUGCAACUCGACCCCGUGAAGUCGGAGUCGCUAGUAAUCGCAGAUCAGCAACGCUGCGGUGAAUACGUUCCCGGGCCUUGUACACACCGCCCGUCACGUCAUGAAAAGUCGGUAACACCCGAAGCCGGUGGCCUAACCCCUUGUGGGGAGGGAGCCGUCGAAAGUGGGAUCGGCGAUU
rnacentral:rRNA from 1 species